rnacentral:antisense_RNA from 1 species
CUUGAUGGAUCCCAGCCACAGCGGCCGGUCGGCCGGCCGACCCUGCCCGUAUGUCGCCACCAGCGCCUGGGCUUC